GGAUGUUCAUACAUGCCUAGUUCAAAACCCGAAGGUUUUUAAUCUUGCUCAACAAUAAUAUGUAAUUCAACAUAUAUGUGUACGGGUAAUUGAAAAAGUGUAUCAACAUGUGAAUAAAUACCAUGAUUAUCCAAGUGGGGACACUUGUAUAACCAUUUAGAAAUCAAUGAACAGAAUAUAUAUCUGAGCUAACAUGUUGAUAAUCAAAGCGUACAUAAUCUGUACAGGAAUAGAAAAGAAUUCUGAAACUCUCUUACUCAUGUCCAUUGCAUAAAGGAAAUGCAAAGGUAGGAUACUUGCCUGAUUCGCUGAUGACAAAUCUCAACUCAGGUUUUAUCUCUUUAUCACAACCUAUCAAUAAUCAGAGCAUUCGUUCGAUUAGAACAAUAUAUCUUAACACAAAGUACUGUCUAUUACAGUCAGCACAUAAUCACAGUGAUCAUACUUUUAGUUCCUAUUCUAUACUUGAAAUAUUUUUAUACAUUUUUCAAAUAUCUCAUCCAUGCUCUUACAGUAGCCUUUUCUUUCUAUUAUAGGGUCUUACAUUUGUCGGCGUACCGACAACUUUAUCGGGUAAAUACUGAGUCUAAGACUCUUAUUCUAUACCUCAACAUCUGCAAAUAUCAGACAUCUUAUUUUUAACCAUUUUCGAAAUUUCCAGAAAUUGAAAAUUUUUAAAUAAUUCAAAUCUGUCACUAAAGGGCCUAUAGUAAUAUAACUGUUACUAUAGGUGUUCUUCUUCAAAUUCAGAACUUCAUAAUCGGUUCUCAAGUCAGCUAGUUUGGCCGGCUAUAACUUUCAAACAUCGGAAUCAUAAUUAAAUGAUUUAAACAUUAAACAAUUCCAUUAUCAUUAAUAAUUAAUUUAUAUUAAACUAUUAAUGAAACCAUUGCCAAAAUAUAAAAGUUAUUUAUAAUAACUCAAACUAUUUUUAAAACAUUUAUAUUACCCUUAAAUGAUUUUUAAAACAAUUAAAAUCAUUUUUAAAUAAUCACCAUUAAUAUAUAAAUAUUAAUGUACUAUUCAUCCAAAUAUUAAAAGUCAUUAAUUAUAACUUAAAAUAUUUUUAAAUCCUUAAUAUCCUCUUUAAAUGAUUUUUAAAUAAAUAAAACCAUUUUUAAACUAUUUAUUUAAUAAUAAUUAUUAAAUAAACUAAAUAUCAUUAAUAUUAUCUUAAUAUCAUUAAUAUUAAAUUAUUAAUGAAAUUAUCCUUUAAAUAUUAAAAGUUAUAUUUUAUAACUUAAAAUAUUUUUAAAUACCUUAAUUUCAUUUAAAAUGAUUUUUAUAAUAUUAAAAUCAUUUUUAAACUAAAUUAUUUAAUAUAAUCAUUAAAUAACUUUAAUAUCAUUAAUAUAUAAUUAAUUAAUGAAAUUCAUCACAAAAUAUUAAAAGUCAUGGGAAAUAACUUAAAAUAUUUUCUUAUACCAUAAAAUAAUUUUUCAUGAUUUUUCAUGAAUUAAAACUAUUUUUAAAUCAUUUAUUUAAUAUUAUAAUUAAAUAAAUAAAUACCUUUUAUAUUCCAAAAAUAUUAAAUAUUUAUGAAAUAUACUCAAAAUAAUUAAAAACUAUUUUUCGGACUUUAAAAUAAUUUUUCAGAAUUUAUUUGGUAUUUUUAAUAAUUAAAAUCUAAAUUUUCUAAUUUUUAAAUUAAUUUCCAGAAAAUAAUAAUAAUAACCAUCGUUAAAGGCCCCUAUAGCGACAGAACCGUCUCUAUAGGUGUUCUUGAGCCUGCCCAGAAAUCCUAAGGCAGAACCGAGUAGCCUACUUUGACCGUGUGUAGUUUUAUGUGUGUUGCAAUUCUGGCAAUGUUCUUGGUCAGAUCGUGUAGAGGAAAUACAAGACUACAAGAUCCAACAAACAUCAUGGCUAUCCAACAUCAGAUCUGGGAGAAAAUGGUCAUCAAAGUAGCUGUCAGAGCUGUUCUUCGUGAAGAACAGUUCGAGAUGGCUACUUUGAACCUCUAUAUCUUGAUGAUCGUGUAACGUUUAUGUGAUCUAUCAAUUCUAGUGUGUAGACAACAUGUAAGACUACAACUUUAACACUUAACAUCAUCAUAACAACAACAGAUCUAACGGGAAAUGGCUGGUCAAAGUGCAACACGGAAACUGUUCAUGAAAAAUCUGGUUUCGCUAGUUUGGCAAAUUUGGUCAACGGGUUUGACCGCUUAUAUCUCUCAAUCUAAAACUGAUCUUGACUUGAUUCUUUUUGCAUCUUAAAGACCACAUAUCAGGCUACAUGUUACAAGUUUUAAACAUCAAAAACACUAAACAAACACUAAUCUAUGGGGUCUGACAUUUGCUUGUCAGACCAUAUUUUUGGUUUUUGCAAAGUUUGAAAAAAUUUGAUUUUGAGCACUUUGAUGUUAUGGGUCAUGAAUUUAACAACUCAGAACAUUAAUAGACUCCUUAUUACACAACUUUAAACAAUAUAUUGCAUCAAUUAACAUCGAAUCGAAGGAUUUCUAGAAUUUAAGGUUUCCUACCUUUUUGAGCUUCGAUUCUUGAAUUUCUGACUUUGAUUCGUUGUUGUGAUGGUUGGGCUUUGAUUAUAGACUGAUCUAGCAAGCUAAUUUCGUAGCUUUUAGAGAGAGAGAGUCUAAGAUGAGUGUUGGGAGAAAAAUGAGAUUAAAGUAGCCUUUCUCUCUCUCUUAUUCUUGAAAAUAAUUCAAUUAUUUGAUGCAAUAAUGCUUGAUCUGAUAUGGCUGUCCAUUAUUGAGCUCAAAUGAUAAUUAUAGAGUGGUUGGCCGAAAUUUUGGGGAUUGGUAGCAAUGAUACAAAAUUAUUUCACCAAUAAUGCACUAAAUGGACAAAAAGGGUAAAAUAGUCAUUUCCACCCUAAUAAUUGGUUCCUUCCUUUAAUAAUGCAUAAGGGUAGUUUAGACUUCUCAUGUCUACCAUGAAGGGCAUUGUAGACAUUACCCAUAACCAUUAGCGUUUAUCACUUUAGAUUUUAAAAUUCCAUUAAUAAUAUAACUAAUAAUACACUAAAAGGGUAUUUUGGUAAUUUCACAUAUAAUUUCAUGGGCAUUUUUGUACAUAGCAAUUAAAUGUAGUAUUUAAUCACUAGAUGGUAAUUUUAUCAUUUACCAAUUACUUCUAUCCUUUGGUAAAUUAAAACUUUUAUACAUUAACAUCGUAAUUAAACCCGAUAAUUUAAAAUUAGGGUCUUCGAUUGAAAAUUUAGGGUUCUAUAAUUAGGGUUUCGUAACGCCAUCAAUUAGGGUUUCUAAUUGACCAUUAGGGUUCUCUAAUUGUCUGUGUAUGUUCUAACACAGUCAUUACGAUCUCUAACUUCAACCGAUUAGGGUUGUAAUAAUUAGGGUUUGUCCUAAUUAUCGACAUACAACAGUAAUUAGGGUUUUCUUCUAAUUACCGACAUCUUAUACACAGUAACCUUCAUAUACACAGUCACUACUCAGUCAUAUCUCAUAACUGAGUUUAAUAAUUAGGGUUUCACAGCACGGUAAUAUGCUAUGACCUAAUUGACCGUCAUUGCUCAAUAUUAUCUGUCCGCACAUACACAGUACAUAAUUAUUGUACUGUAAAAUCAUUAUAACAAUAAUAUAAUAUUAUUAUUCUCAUCUCUUGAUCACAAUCCCAAUUCAGGGUUUGGAUCUCAUAUCUGACUUCUCUUUCGCAUAUCAAGUUAAAAUACUUGAUUUAAAUAUUCUGAACAAUUCAUAUAAUAAAAUAUAUAUUAUAUAAAUUCUAAUUAUCACUUCAUAUAUUAUUUCCAAUCAUGUUUUCAUGGAAAAUAAUUAAUAAAACAUUUCUGCUUACAGAAAUUAAUUACCAUAACAAUAUAAUUUGUGGUAAUUGAUUAUUCCAAAAUUAUUUCUAAUUUUUCAAGUAAUAAAUAUAUUUGUAUCUAUCGUUCACUUAUUCUCGUCAUUAAAUAAAUAAAAAAAAUUUAUACGCAAAAUUUCUUAUUUAUUUUAUAUAUAGGAAAUCUCGGGUUAUUACACAAACACAACUACAAGUAAUUCUUUUUCGGUGGUUGUGUAGUUCAACUGGGCAUCUGUCAACGUCUUGCUGAAGUAAUAGAUUGUGUGAAAAAUCUUAUCGUGACGUUGUCUCAAUACUGCUCCAACUGUGUAGUCGUUGGCGUCGCACAUCAAUUUGAACGGUAAAGACCAAUCAGGCGCCACAAUAAUUGGAGCAGAGACCAACUUCUUCUUUAGUACCUCAAAUGCCUCAAUGCAUGACUGAUCCAUCUUGAAAGGCAUGUCUUUCUCCAACAGGGAACAUAAGGGUUUUGAUAUUUUGGAAAAAUCGUUAAUGAAGCGUCUAUAGAAACUCGCUUCACAUAUGAUGGAGGGGGUAAUUUCUCAAUUGUCUCAAUCUUCGCUUUGUCCACCUCUAAUCCUGUUGUGGAGACCUUAUGCCCCAAAAUAAUCCCUUGUUUCACCAUAAAGUGACAUUUUUCCCAGUUAAGAACCAGAUUAGUCUCCACGCAUCGCUUCACCACUAAAAUCAGAUUUUUCAAACAGAAAUCAAAGCUAUCGCUGAACACAGAAAAGUCAUCCAUAAAUACCUCCAAAUUUUGUUUGACCAUAUCAGAGAAGAUCGCCAUCAUGCACCGUUGAAAGGUUUCUGGCGCAUUACAUAAACCAAAGGACAUACGCCGGAAUUCAAACGUACCGUAUGGGCAUGUGAAUAUGGUUUUCUCUUGAUCCUCCGGUGCUAUGACAAUUUGAUUAUACCCAGAAUAUCCAUCUAGAAGACAGUAGAACUGAUGUCCCGCUAGCCUAUCCAACAUUUGAUCAAUGAACGGCUAGGGGAAGUGAUCCUUGCGAGUGGCUUUAUUCAGUUUUCGGUAGUCCAUGCAUACUCUCCAUCCUGUAACUGUUCGAGUAGGGAUGAGCUCAUUAGCUUCAUUCUUCACCACUAUCAUACCCCCUUUCUUUGGUACACAUUGUACAAGACUUACCCAUGAGCUAUCCGAGAUAGGGUAAAUAAUGCCAGCAUCCAACCAUUUUAUGAUCUCCUUUUUAACCACAUCCUUCAUAAUGGGGUUUAGCCUUCUUUGCAUCUCAAUGGUUGGUUUUGCCCCCUCUUCCAUUAAAAUCUUGUGCAUACAAUAAGAUGGACUAAUUCCCCGAAUAUCCGCUAUAGACCACCCAAUUGCUAUUUUAAACUCUCGCAAGACCCGUAGCAGUUUCUCCUUUUGCAUGUCAGUUAACUUCGUUGAAACAAUAACUGGUAGGUUAGCGUCUUUUCCUAGAUAAGCAUAUUGCAGAUGAGACGGUAGUGGCUUUAAUUCCAACACCGGUGGCUCUUCUGUCGAGGGUUUGAACUUUUUACCUUCCGUUUCGGGCCUCUCAAGGGUGUCGAAUAAUUGAUUGCUUUUCUGGAAGACUGAUGAUAUAUCUAUCCAUUUGACAUAUUCAAUGUCCUCUUCAAUGCCGCAAUCGUCUAUCCCAAGCAAAAUGGAUUCAAGCGGGUCCACCGAAUAAUUUCCACUGAACUUGUGAUUAACCAAUUCCUCCAUGAUAUCAACCCGCAAACAUUCACCUUUUUCUUUCGGGUAAGACAUUGACUUAAAAACAUUAAAGGUGACCUAUUGAUCUUCAACUCUCAUCGUUAAUUCACCUUUUUGCACAUUAAUCAAAGUUCUACCCGUUGCUAAGAAUGGUCGCCCAAGAAUUAUUGUAAUUUCGCUGUCCACUUCACAAUCCAAAAUAAAGAAGUCCGCAUGGAAGAUGAAUUUAUCCACUUUAACUAAAACAUCCUCAACAAUACCUCGUGCAUAAGUAACCGAUCUAUCCGCUAACUGCAAACUGAUAUUUGUUGGUCGUGGAGCCUGAAGCCCAAACUGGCUGUAGACGGACAAUGACAUCAAAUUUAUACUAGCCCCCAAAUCACACAAUGCUCGACCCGAAAACUGAUUUCCAAUUUCACAUAGAAUAUUAAAGCUACCUGGGUCCUUAAGCUUCGGUGGUAACUUAUUCUGAUUUACCGUGCUGCAUUCUUCGGUCAAUGCCACUGUUUCAAACUCACCCAAUUUCCUUUUUCUUGACAAAACCUCCUUCAUAAACUUGGCAUAACUCAACAUUUGUUCUAAGGCUUCGGCAAAGGGAAUGUUGAUAUGCAGCUUUUUGAAAAUAUCCAAGAAUCGUGAAAACUGCUUAUCCAACUUGGAUUUCUAAAACCUCUGCGGAUACGGUAUGGAAGGUAUUGCGAUGGUUGGUUCCUGUUCUUUCUGCUCUAAAGUCCCAUCUUGACAUUUUCCGAUGUCCACCACUUCCUCUGUUUCACUUAUUGCGUUGUCCCUCUUUUCCCUAUCCAUAACUGUAUCAUGCAAAUUCUUUCCACUUUGUACAGUUCUGGCCUUACAACGCUCAUCUCUGCACCAAUUUUUCUCUGUGUCAAUCGGAAGUGUUCCAAGUGGUCAGUUAUUCAGCGCAUGUCCUAUCUACCCCACUUGAUUUUCUAGAUUCUUGAUCGACGCACUUUGGCUUUGCAUAUUCAGCUCUAUUUGAUUAAUUUUUUUCUCAUUUACCUCAUUCAUUUUUUCAGACGCUUUAACAAAUCUAUCCAAGGCUUCUUCCCAACUUGCUUUCCACUAUAGUUGUUGUGUCUAAUUUUGAAAUCCGGAUGUGUUUUGUUGUCUCGGCACUUGAGCUUGAGCUUGAUUGUUACUCCAUAAAAACCCCGGAUGAUUUCUCCAACCCGGAUUAUAUGCGUUUUAAUUUGGGUAAGGUUGGGUAGAUCGAUUAUAGCUCCCUACGAACUGAGCUGAUUCAGAAUUUAUGGCACAUUGAUCCGUAGCAUGACCCCCAGCACAUAAUUCACAAACCAUUGCUACCUGCUGUGUGGAUUGUGGACGCCAUGUUUCCAUCUGCUUAGCCAUUGUGGCCACUUGUGCUGUUAAUGCUGUCAUCGCAUCUACGUCAAACUUUUCUAGUGUUCUCGGAGGGUUAGACCUAGUCAUGGGCCACUGAUAGUUGUUGGUGGCCAUUGUCUCUAACAGCUAAUAUGCCUCAUCAAAACUUUUAGACAUGAUCGCUCCCCCUACUGCUGCAUCAAUACUGGCCCUCGUUGACGCAUGCAAACCAUCACAAAAUAUCCCUAAUUGCAUCCACUGUGGAAUUUCGUGGUGUGGGAACUUACGGAGCAUAUCCUUAAAUCUUUGCACGCCUCAUAUAAUGAUUCAGAGUCAAACUGUGUGAAGGUGUAAAUAUCGUUCCGUAGUUUUGCCGACUUCGCAAGUGGGAAACACUUAGCUAGAAAUUUUUGAGCUAAGUCGUACCAAGUGGUGAUUGAGCCAGGAGGCAAAGAGUGUAGCCAACUUCGCGCUUUAUCUUUUUAGGUAAACGGGAACAUCCUCAACCUUGUAGCAUCUUCCGAUACAUUGUUGAAUUUGAAGGUGUCGCAAACUUCCAAGAAACUUAAGAUGUGCUCAUUAGGAUCAUCUAUCGAACUACCCCCAAACUGACAUGUAUUCUGUAGCAUCUAAAUUAUUCCCGGUUUAAUCUCAAAACUGUUUGCAUUGAUCGUCGGCCUCCUAAUACUAGACUGUAUAUCCGUGACAUUCGGCAUGGCAUAGUCCCUAAGCGAUUUCUGGUCGUUCCCUGCCAUGUUCGCUGGAAUUUCUUGUUCUGCCAAUUCUUCUUCCACAGGUGACACUGCACUAGUCGACUGUAAUUUUCGGAACUUCUUUUCAAUAUUGACCGUAUAAGGAAAAAGUUCCUUUUUCGCCCUUGAUCUAGUGUGCAUACACUCGCAAAGAAUUCCUGCAAAUACAAGAAGAAAAAUAAGUAACGUUUAAAUUAAGACCGAAUUGAUUAUAACUAAUAUGGAAUUAAUACUAAUAAAGAAGUUCCCCGGCAACGGCGCCAAAAAAUUGUUGGUUGAUUUCACAAUACAAGCAAACGUGCAAGUAUACACGGUCAACAAGUAAUAGAGUGAUAAGAUAGAGUGUCGAUCCCACAGAGAAUUCUAAUUAAUAAAUUCCAACUACUAGCACUAUAUCAAUUCAAUUUUAUUUAAACAACCAAUAAUUGUGAUUUUUCGAAUUAAGAAAAUUAAAUUAAGCAAAUAAAAAGAAAUUAAUCUAAAAGAAAGCAAAUAAACCAAACUAAGAUUUGAUUGAAUUCAGAUAAAUAAGGAUUAAGACUCCAAUAUCCCCAAUUAUGAACUAUAAAUCAAUUAUCCAAUUAUCCCAAUUACUAUGUCUACUGAAUUGUUAACAUGAAUUCUCAAGUGCCAAAAGUCCUUUUUCAAGUGAUCAAUUGCCUUCUAUUUAAUCCAGAUUAAUCCUGCUAUAUUCCUAUGCAAAACAUUUGAAUUAAACUCUUUUCAAUCCCAAUUCCUUAUGUGUUACAUGCGGCAAACAGAUAUUUCCAUUCUAUUCACAAACCUAAUUAUUCACUGUGCAAAUAACUAAGUCACAUGUCAUCAUGCCCAGUUCUAACCCCAUAAUUCCUCUUUUAAUUCCUUCUAGAAUAACAAGGUAAUUAUUGGCCAGAUAAUUAAUCAAUAAAUGCAAGGCAAGAUGAAUAAUUCACUUCAACAUAAAUAAUUGGAAUAAAUCAAAUAAUUAAUUCAUAAUCAUAAAAGGUUCAAUUGGAAUCUUAAUUAAAGAAAUUAGUUCAUAACGGAAAUUAAAAACAACAAUAUUUGAAAAAUCAUGUUUAAUGAAUUACACAAAUUGAAAGAAUAAAGAAGAAGAGAAAAACUCCAAGUAUAUCCUGCAAAAUUCUCCUCUUGAAUCUUUGAUCAGCCUCCAAUUGUGUAGAAUAGUUUCCUACUCCAAUAGAAAUAAUCCUUAUAUACUUCACUUGUCCAACUCUAGCAAUCCAAAUCCCAUUUGGCUUCAAACAACCUCCAAUUGAGAAGUCAAACGAAAAGUCAACGCACGUCCCAGUCAACCAGGAUUCCGGCCCAGCGCCCCAGCGCUGAUACUUGCACUAUGUUGAGGGCCCCGGCGCUAGCGAGCAGAAAGUGGCUAUUAUGCCCUUUUUCAACUCAAAAUUCCCCAAGUGUUCUUACAGCUCCCAAAUCUGCAAUAAAACAACUAAACACAGUAAAAACAAAUAUAAAUGCUUUGAGAAUACAAUAAAUUAAGCCCAAAUAUAUCCAAUUCAUGGGUUUAUUACCUAAUCAUCACAAAUCACAUGGAAUACUCCAUUGAUUUCAUAUCUACAUCCUAACCAAGCAAGAUGCACAUAUUUAAGUAUUGAUGGAGUUUAAUUGUUCAUCAACAAUCAAGCUCAACAAUCAAUAUUUUUAUGGUUUAACACUUAUGUUAACCCUUACGAUUUCUAUUCCUUCAUGACUUAUAAAGAUUGUAUAUAUUACAAGUCAUCCUUAUUCCUCAAUAAGAGGCAUACACCACCAAUUUAUGAUCCGUCAUACUCAAAGAAAUCAAAAGAGAUGGAACCAUUAUUAAGGAAUAUUACCUUAAGGAAUCUUGGUGUUCUUGAAAGAAACUCUAAAUCAAAACUUCAAAGUUGUAUGUUUGAUUGAGUCUAGCACUUUCUCUCUCUCAAAAUAUAUAUUAGGCAACUUGAAAAACCAUCAAAUGACCAACCCUUGCUUUCUAUUUAUAAGCAAUUGAAAUGGAGGACAAGAAGGUCUUUAUCCCCCACCUCCUUACUAUUCCCUACUUUAUCACCAAGUAAAAUACUUUGUGAUCAAGUAGAUUUCUUUGCUUUCACACCAAGUGGCCGGCUCACCAUACCCAUGGGUCAUCCCCAUGGGUUGCCCCAUGGGUUUUACCCAUUUAGUGACCCAUCGGUUCGAUCCACGGUUCGGUUUCUUGGAUCGGGCUUAAUCAACUCUAACAUUGGGCUUUAGUUUGGGCUUGUCGACGUCGGGAUUUUUUGAUGUCCCUUUUCGUUACUUGUUCUUCGGUGUUCUCAUGUUAAUGUGAGAUUUGUUUGAAAAAACAAGUGAAAAAGGUCCGACAUGUGUAAUGUCGUCGAUUUGACUUUAAGAGUCGCUAGUUGGUGUAUUUUAACUGGUUGCACCAACGCAACCGAAAAGGUUUACACAUUGACCUAGUGAUGUGACACUGUUAAACGGGUCUAUGAAACUGAGAUUCAUUAAGGGUUCAGGGGCUUGGUUAUGCGGAGGGAAGGUGUUAGGCAACCCCCGACAUCCGUGUUGCCACGGUGACCGCCACUUCUUAAAGAAACUGUUAUAUGAAUGUGUGUGUGUGUGUGUGUGGAUCAUUGUGCAAUUAUUUAAAAGUAGUGUUGUACCUCGUUCACACCUAUAUACAAGGGUUUGAAUUUAUAGAAAAAUUCAGUUUUAACCAGAUAUAGAAAUGAGGUUUUAUAAAAAAGGUUUUUCAAACCCUGUGCUCAAAAGUAAUUGAGGUCUUUGAUACUUCCAUUUUAUUAUCUAAAUGUUCGGCUUGUUUGCUUUUAUUUUUGAGAUGUGAGGCAUCUGCGAGAAAAUAAUAUACAACAGUGCCGAACUCCUUAUGGGCAUGACAACCAUCCAAGGAAAUUCAGACACUGUAAAUAAUGUACAAGCUACUCACAGCUGGAAAAUGUCCAUCAUGGGAACCGAAUCUAGAUUCAGUAGACUGAAUCUGUGAUCACAUGAUUCCUAGGCGCACAUGAUACUGUAAUUUGUAUGGAAAGAAGUAAGCAGUUAUGUAUAUAUAUAUAUAUAUAUAUAUAAGCUAUAAAUAUAUAUAUAUAUAUAUGUGUGUGUGCAUGAUCAACCACCACAAAGCAACUCCUUGGGGGAUCAGAAAUGUAAAUAAAGCAGUAAAUGCUAUCAACCGCCACGAAGUUAACUCCAGGCGGGACUUGAAUGUAAAUAAAGCUGUAAAAAGCUAUCAACUGCCACGAAGUGAACUCCAAGCAUGACAAAAUGUAAAGAAAGCUAUAAAAAGCCAUGGAGGAAACUCCAGGCCUGACAGGAAUGUAAAUAUAUAUAUAUAUAUAUAUAUAUAUAAGCAGUAAAUGCACCGGAUAUAAAUUCUAAGCUCAUCGGAUAUGUCUGACAACAGUUAUAUAUAUAAAUAUAUAUAUAAAAGCAAUUAAACGCACCGGAUGUAAAAUCCAGGCUCAUCAGACAGAGUCUGACCAUAGUUUAUAUAUAUACGUAUAUAUAUAUAUAAGCAAUUAAAUGCACCAGACCGAAGUCUAGGCUCAUCAGACAGAGUCUGACAACAGUUUAUAUAUAAAUAUAUAUAAAAAAGCCAAUAAAUGUUCCAGACCGAAGUCUAGGCUCAAUCGAGGCAUAACUCAAUAAUGUUAGUUCGUAUAAAAAUAUAUACAUAUAUAUAAGUAUAUAUAUAUAGACAGAAAUGAAAACCACGGACCGAAGUCCGGGCAAACACACUCACAGGACUCUCAACGUGUACAACAGUGUGUGAUAAUAUGAGAAGAAAGCUUUAUAGAAUGUGAGAAGGCUUACAGUGGGAUGCCAAAGUAGACUUCUAUGACUUUAUUUGGAUAACUACUCAGCUCCCACCGGAUAAAAGAUAGCUAUAUGUGAGCUAAUAGAAAAGAAAACACUCAAUAUGGGUGUGUACAAAGCAAAAUGGACAGGGCUUCUUCGCCUUUUCUCUCUCUUUUCCUCCUUCAAAUGGCUGACCCCAAGCCUUGUAUAUAUAGACGGAUGGCCGCAGGUGUACCUGCGGUAGCUGCAGUUAUACCUGCGGCUGGUCAUGGUGGGCCCGGGCUUCGCGGGUCCAGUAGUCUCGAAGUACGUACACUCAUGCACUGUAAUGUCCGCUCGAACUUGCAGAACAUCAAUCCGAGCUUCCGAAUGAGGAAUGUUUGACCUUCUUCGGAUAGCUUAUGUCGAGAGUUAUGUAAUGACAUGGAUUAGAGGUUGUACGAAGUCAGGAAGAGGGGACCAUGCCCAUUGUCUUCAAGCUUCAAACUCUAUCCAAAGUACUGCUACGCGUAAUAGUCACUCGGGAAUAGAUAUCCUAGUUCGUGAAGGACAUAGUUGUAUGUAUGUAUAUAUGAAGUGUUGAGAUGACGCGCAGGUGUUGAAAGGGGCAAGAUGAUGUUUGACUCUUUGCUGGGGUUAUCGCCGGUUUGAACUGAAAGUAGACGUUGCUCAGGGUUACAUCUGAGAUUGGACUACUUGUUGGUAUGCUGUGAUAUCAUCUUGUGAAAGGAAGUGUUGAAGUGGAAAGAUGACAUUUGACUCCUCACCGGGGUUAUCGUUGGUUUGAACGAAAAGCAGACGUUGCUCAGGGUUACAUCUGAGAUUAGACUGCUUAUUUGUGUGCUUCACUGUCAUCUGUGGGUGUGCCUGUCCGCCCGUUGUUAGCUCCGGGUCUGAGGUAUGAGUGCCUCAGCAGGAGGGCUGAGAUUGAAGUUGAUCGCAUGUGUUUUGAAACAAGCAUUUCUGGAGUUAUCGCCGGAACUGCAACAUCAUUCCUUGGGGUUAUCGCCAAGGACGAAACUCGGGGUUUUCUCCGAGGUUGGAAAUGAUCCUUCCGGUGUGUGUUCUGAGGUUGAGGAUGAGACUCCCGGUGUGUGUUUCAGGUUGAGACUGAUGUUCCCGGUGUGUGUUCCGGGUUGUGAACCGAUCCUCCGUUAGUAUCCAGAAUGGAUGUGAGUUGUCUUUUAGGGUUAUCUCCGAAAGAUGAUUCUGCCCUCCUAUAAUGUUAGUAACAGUUGUGCAAAAAAAUUUUGAGUGUCUACAGAUGCCCCUCUUUAUCAUAUUUAUGCAAUGCAAGGCAUGGAUAGGAUAAAGAAUCCUAGACACUUGAAAUGCAAGUGAAAUAAACAUGAUGCUUAUGUGCAGCAACAUGAUGCAAAUGUAUAAUGCAUGAUUGUCAUGUAAUCAUGCUGGGAUGACAAUCAGUGAUGGCUUGGACAUGGGAUCCAAGUCUUCAAGGAUGUUGAUGUUGGGACUAUCACCAAAGUCGUGAAUCCUAGACACUGGCUUAUAUUACAUAGAGGUACUUCUUGUAUGUAAGAGAUCUGUAGGGAUAAAGCUUUGUCUACUUAAGGAUGUGUAUAACAUAUUCCCUUAUCCCAUCGAAGUUAGUGCCAACAGUCGGUUGUUGUUAGGGUUGCUUAACCUUCGUUGAUGUAUGUAUCAUCAGAUAGAUUGUCAAGGUUGCUUGACCUUCAUUGAUGUGUGUAUCAAUGGUUGCAUUGCGUUGUAACCCCCGCCGGGGAUACGUGGAUGUCUGACAGAUGUGCGUUGUGACCCCCGCCGGGGAUACGUAUAUGUUUAAAACUUUGGCGUUGUAACCCCCGUCGGGGAUAUGUAUUUAAUUUGUAACUUCGGCGUUGUAACCCCAACCGGGGAUACGUUGAUGCUCGAAUUUCGUAGAUUCUGCGUUGUAACCCCUGCCGGGGAUACGUCAGGGUUGCCUGACACUCAUUGACGGCAUCGGACCUUUGUGGGGUAUUGCUGAGCAUGAUUUAUGAAAGCUGAGGCCACUGGUAUCGUAUACCUUUCAUGUAGGUGAAUACCAAUGUGGAACAUGUGGAGCCAGAGUUUGACACAUGAACACCAGGAUUCCGGGCUAUUCCGCUCAAUCGCGUAGCGCUUUUAUUCCUGAUUUGGACUUUUUAGCUUGCAAGACCUCCUUUGUAACUCUAACUAGAGCGAGCCGGAGGUGUGGGACCCAUGUAGGAGUGUUGCAGGUAGACCUGCAGCAGUCGCAGGUGGACCUGCAGCCAACCGUGGCUAUGUAAAGCCCAAAGGUUGCUUUCAUAAAUCAUUUUCAAGCUGCGCGACGAAGGAAAUCUGCGAGCUUCUCAUCAGACUUGUUGAGUUUGGGCAACUUUCUGCAUAAUCUGCUACCGUACAAGCGUUCUUCACUGUCCUGGUAAUGUAUGCAUGUAUUCUUUUCCAGUUUCUAUCUGUUGGAAAAUGACUUAUCAUAUGAAAUGCAUUUAGACACAUAGUAGUGAAUAUGCAUGCUGAUAUGACUUGAUAAAAAAUAUUCAACAUAGCAAAUGUUAGUAUUAAACCAUGCCGAACCUAAUGAUGUAAAAAAAUUUAACUUUUGAAACAGUCAAAUUUGCACCUUUUACUAUCAUUUCUUAUCCUAUCUGAGGACAAAUGAGUAAAGGUAGACAAGCAAAAUAAUCCUGGUAAUUAGACUACACUUACGGAUUUUUUACUGCAAUGUAUUAAAUGCAUAUAGGAUGUAUAUGACUGUGUAUAGGUGUGCUACUAAAUAGCCACCUAGUCAUGCCUAUGUGCAUGUGGAUAGUCCCAUUUACAAAGGGGCUAUGACAAAAUUUUCCCAAAAUGUAGGAAUGAUUAUUCAUUCAUUUUUAACUCUACUGUAUGUUAAAACAAUGCAUGCAUGUAUGUUAAAAAGCUCCAGGUAAGAAUUUACCACACCCUUUCUGAGGUGAUUUGGAGACUUGUUGUCCAGAUAUUAUGGAUCCGGAUCAGCUGAGUAGUUCCCGCAAGACUACUUCAGGUGUACGGAAGAGGGCUUCUGAAGAGCCUCAUCACCGUUCUAUUAGACAGCCUCGUCGUUUGGUGGAGGCGGUGAUACGUCCUAUCCGGUUUGAAGUGCAAGAUGUCGAGGAUGAGGAGGAGGAUGUACCAGUCGAGGUUCCUGCUCCUGUUGUACGUGUUCCCCGUAGGGAAUUGCCAGGAAUUCAAGUGGUGAACCUAGAUCUUCUGGGUAACUUGAGUCGGCAUCCUUCAGUAUACCUGCACACAAACGAGGUAUGAAGUUAGAUCUUAAUCGUCCUUGUUUCCUAUUGAUGAGGAGUAAAGGACUCUGAUGUUGAUCUGUAUUUGAUGUAGGUUCCCGGCUUCACACAGCCUCGAGGGAACUGGUUUAGCAUCCACUCUAUGUAUCAUGCCUUGUAUGAUGACUACAGAGCGAUUGUACAUGGCUGGAGAUUUGGAGCAUUUUUUUCCAUCCUUCCCCGUCGCUGUCCCUGGGGUUACCUCAGGGCAUUGUCUGAGCGGUGGUUUCACCAGACUCAGUCACUCCAUUUGCUGGACUGUGAGGUGAUGAUGACGCCGAUGGAUUGGCGGUUUAUCACAUGUAUGGAGUUUGGAGGGGAUCCAGUUCCUUGUACGACGGAUAUUACCCCUACUACUGUCAGAUCCUUGUUGGGAGUUCCGGCGGAGGCGCUCAAGGGCAGGACUGUUCGUACGGGUCCUUUGAGCAUAGAUGCUAUGAGCAGGCUGUUGAGUGAGCCCAUACCCAAUGAUGUAAGAGUUAGGGACCGCAUUCUUCGGCAAUUGUUCCUGAUAAUCAUUAGAGGCUGCUUCAUAGCAGAUAAUUACUCUACGGUGUCCUUCGCUUUGAUCAGUGCCACUAGACAUGUGGACCGUAUAGGAGACUAUGAUUGGGGUUCCUACACCUUUUCCUACUUCCUCAGGGGAAUACACAUGCGAUCACAGGGCUUGACCGAGGCGUGGUUAGGAUUCUUCCCAUUUCUACUAGUGAGUGUUUCUCUUGUCUUUUCCCGUGUACAGGUUAAGAGUGUUGACUGACAACAAAUGUUUGCCUUUGUGUUGGCAGUUUUGGGCCUAUGAGAGGCUUCCAUGUUUACGUCCUAUGAGUGUGUUAGGUUUAGACACCUAUCCACGAGGACGGCGAUGGCAUCAUUCCAUACUGGCGGAGGUCCCUGUUGCUGAGGUUUUCACUCAUUGUCGCCUACAUCUGGAGUUGUUGACAGCAGGUGUCAUCACAUGGGUUCCCUACUCUGGGGAGCAUUUAGGAGUUGGUUUUAAGAAUGGGUUCCUGACUGGAGUUGAGUACGUCUUUUCCACCCGCAGGAUUCCUCUCUUCACAGAUGGAGGAUGGGAGCUCUAUUUAGGAGAGCGUGCUAUCAGGAGCACUACAGGAGAGAUCCGUAUACCGAUCUUAUAUCCUGCCAGGCGUUAUUGGCCUGUUUCACAGUCUCCCGUCAUUGAUAUCCCAUUGUUGGGGAUUGACAGUUUUACUUUGUCAGAGGGCCCCUGUACUCAAGAGUUGUUCCAGCAUUGGUGGAUCCCUCGUACCAUUGGAGCUUAGACCCGCGCCACACAGUUUAUGGGGGAUAUGGUUCCAAGAUCCGUGAUGAUGACGGAUUGGCUAUCCUGUGUUAGAGAUCCUACUCAUGUGACACAAAUUGAUAGAUUGACCCAUCAGUUGGAUCGGGCACAUUUCUUCAUCCAACAUUUGGGCAGAGAUCCUUCAGAGGCAAAUACAUUUGAUCCUUCCAGCUCUGGCGCUGGCCCCUCAGGUGACCCAUAUGGUUUUGCCAGUACAGAUCCUCCAUUGUAUAGGCCUGGCAUCCCUGUAGAUAGAGAUCCAGUGACUCAGGAGGAGUUACAUCAGGUGGAUAGCAUCGAUGAUGUAGACAUUGACACUAUUGACUUUUUCUGUUGUAUUUUUCAUUAUCUCUUUUGAUAGGCCUCUGUUAGCUGCUGGGUAGCUUCGCCCCAUUCUCGCUAUAUCUUUUGAUAGGCCUCUGUUAGCUGCUGGGUAGCUUCGCCCCAUUCUCGCUAUAUCUUUUGAUAGGCCUCUGUUGAGUUGUUGGGUAGCUUCGCCCCAUUUCCCUGUAUUUUAGUUGUACAGAGAUGUAUUAGAUGGUGAUAUACUUAAGAAUGUAUGUACAUUUUCAUUCCCUAUAUCAUAUUUCCAUCUAUUGUAUCAUGCAUGUUAUUUUUAUGCAUAUGUAUGUAUGUCCAGAGAUAUUCAGCAUUGACCCCUGGAUGGUCUUAUGACACGGCCCGUAUAGAUGUCUUCUUCGACAGUUAGCCGUAUUGAUCAUACCCCACCAUUUUUGGUGGUAGCUGGUAUUCGCUCAUGGUAUGAUAGUAUAUCACCAUUAGACAUAGUGAUCGUAGAUGAUUUGCUGCAGCAUACUAUGACCCUGUUGAUGUUUCAGGUUCCCACAGGAUUUGUAGAGGGUAUGCUCGAGCACUGGGUAUCGAAGAGGCAGGUUUUCCGAUUUGGGACCCAGGAGCUGACUCCUACUUUGGAGGAGUAUGCACGUUUGACGAUGUUGUCGCUGGACAGACCUUGCGUGCAUAUGGCUAUUGGAGACAUGAGUAGAUAGUUCAUGACCCUCACCAGAUUGAGACGUAGAGUGGUAGAGGAUGAGAUUACAUCUAGCCAUGUGAUAUCCCAACGUUUUCUGUUUGAUAGAUUUGUCUCUGAGGAUAGUUAUGCACGGCAUUCUGGGGAUUUCACUACACCGGAGGACCAUUGGCGUUCAGCCAGAGUGGAUGUAUUGUUGUUGUGCGUAUUGUCAUACGUCUACAUGCCACGAUAUAUGGAUGAGCUGGAUAUCGGCGUCAUUAUGGCAGUGAGAGCUCUCAAGGAGGGUCGUACUAGUAUACCGAUGAUUAUUGUAGAGACUCUGAGGUCAGCUACAUACUGCUGCACUUAUCCGGCAGGAGUGUUCACAUGUAGUUCGGUCAUGUUGUAUGUGUGGUUUAUGUCACACUUGAGACCGAUUGGCACAUUCAGACGACAGGGGUUUUGCUUCACCCAUGAUAUAGUCGGGUCAUACUCCUUUUAGCCUAUAGAGUGUACAGAUUCUGCAUCGUGGUCAACUUUUCUGGCAGGGAUUAGAGACCCAUUUCUUAUAUUGUCGUGUUCAGGGCUUAGCUCACCCUAUAGCUUCAUUACUCAUGCUCCGGGCAUGGAUUACCUCCCUCUGGCUGGAUUGAGGGGCAUGAUUACUUACCACCCACUGGCCAUGAUGUGUCAGUUUGACUAGUUUCAGGAUUUUUAUCCUUAUAAGGGGGUAGUGAGUCAGCGCUUCGCUUCAUACCAUUUAUCAGCGGAGGACAGAUCCAGAUUGUAUGCCUGUUGGGAUCAACAAGAGCUAGAUGAGUUUUCUGUCAGUCAUCUAGGUUGUUCUGCAGAGUAUUCCGCAUAGAUGGAGACAGAGACUGCAUCGGCUGCUGCAGUAUCCACAGUGCAGGGGAUUGAUUCUGACGAUGAGGAGCCUAUAGAGGAGGCUGACAUUCCCAUCGAUGAUUUGACUACUGGGCUGCCAGCAUUUGUGAUGUAUUCGCCCACCCCGAGUGCCACUGUUACUCAGUAUUCGGCACAGCAUCUGGAGCAGAGCUUACAUCUGAUGACCUAUGAGAGAGAUCAUGUUAGGGCCGUGAUGUUUACAGCUCUUGAUGGGAGAGACGCCGCUUUGUUAGAGAGGGAUGAGGCUAGAUUAGCCAGGGAUGCAUUGAUAGUGGAGCGGGAUGCCGCCUUAUCUGUUAGGGAUGUGACCAUCACAGACAGUACUUCAGUUAGAUCCUAGAUGAUUGUCAGUCUUGCCGACAUGAGUACUUACAUUGAUGAACAUUAUGCCACCAUGUAGGUAGCCUCUGACCUGCUAGCUCGUAUAGAUACCCUUGGGCAAAGCUUUAAGUGCUACCUCCAUCUUCAGAGAGGGAUGCCAUGUUAUAUCUGAUAGUUCGCAUAUAUACAGAUCUGUAGAUAGCUUUGUAUUUUCCUGCACAGACUAGCUUUGCCAUUUUGUCAUGUACAUCACAUAUGUAUAUAUCAAACAGUAUUAUGUAUGGCAGGGAAAUAUAUUUUGAUUCACUUCCCUUUUAGUUAUGCCUUGAUACUUUCUUGAUAUUUGCCUAUUUCUUCAGGGCCUUGUGAUCUUGAUGCAUUCUAAACUUAUCCUUAAUAGGUGGACAUUAAGACGUCGCAAGAUCUCUCAGAAUGGAUCAUUGAUUUCUGUAUAUCCCUACCAUCUUUGGUGUCUUGGGACUGGUAUCUGUAUGAAAUGUGGAGAGGAGAAUGGUUUCUUCCUCUCUGAGAUUGACCGCACCACAGAUGGUCGCCAGUACUUCUAUUUAUGAGAAGCCUAGUUAAUUCCAUCUCUUAUGGGUUGGUAUUGCUCUUCGAGGAACGAUCGCAGCUUAGAUGGUCACCGAAUCUUCUAUUUGUGAGAAGAGGUUAGGUAAUUCCAUCUCUUUAAUCUAAAACCAAUGAAAUGUGGUGAAGUGAAGGUUGAUCCCAAUACCGUGUGACAAAUAUUUUAGUUCUGGUAGGGGUUAGACUGAACCAUAAAUGGCUGCCUACGUACUCCUAUUGAAGAAGAGAUCAAGUCUGCGUAGUUCGAACCUGGUGUACGAGGUUCAACGCUGAAUGUGAAAGACGGAUAUGUGUAGAAAUGUUUUUGUUGUUUUUUUUUUUGUGAAGAAAAGGCAGAAAUGUUUUUGUUGUUUUUUUUAUUGCAACCGGGCUAUAUAGAAUAUGGUUACCUACGUACUCCUAUUGAAGAGGAGAUCUGUGACGCCCCCAAAUCCGGGUACUUGAAACCCGAAUUCAGUGCUUCACGAUACCAUCUCUAUAACUAGAAUAAUACUAAUAGUAAUGCCAAUAAUAUAAAUAUUAAACUUAACUUACAUAAUUAUCAAAGUUUUAACUCCCAAGUACGUAACCUUAAAUCAUUCCUUACAACACGUGAUCAUAAAUAUAUAACAUUGUCUUAAUAAUAUUAAACUAUCACACAGAUAACAUUGUCAUCAUUCAGCAACCUUUCCUUUUCCCUUGUUUCUAGCAGAGCCUUCAGAGUGUUCACACUUAGCUGAAAUAUUUACAUAAGCAAGGAUGAGCAUUUGAGUGCCCAGCAAGUAAUAGCAAUUAUAUAUAUAGAAGCUGAAGGAAUUUAAAUGCUUUGUUUAUACUACCCUUCUACAACGGAUCAAUAGUUGUGAAGUAAUUCUGAACCAAUAAUAAUAAUAAUUCUCUUUCAAAUCUUUGUGUACCGACUAUAAAUAAGUUUUAGGGGACAUACUAUGAACAUUGUUUUCAUUUUCAAAAAGGUUAUACAGAACUUCAUCUGUAAACCGUCGUAACUUACGGGCACGGAGGGUGAUCAACCCGUUGUACCCUGUAUUGAUCAAUACUACAUUGCUAGAACAAUAUUAUCGUUCAUUCUUUGUCCGCCGUAGCGCAUAAAAAUUUUCCCAUGUUCGGGAUGUUCAUACUUGUCAGGGUUCCAAACAAAAGGUUUUAUCUUAUCCAACAAUAAUCUAUAAUUCAACAUAUAUGUAUAUAUCAAAGGUGUAUCAACAAGUGUUUAAAUGCAAUGAUUAUCCAAGUGGGAACACUUGUUUAACCAUUUAUAGAAAUUAACGAACAGAGAAUAUAUAUCUGAAUACCAUAUACUAACAUGUUGAUAAUCAAUGGGCAUAUAUAAUAUAGAUUAAUAAUCUGUACAGUAAUAAUAUAAUUCUGAAACAUUCUUACUCAUGUCCAUUGCAUAAAGGAAAUGCAAA
rnacentral:lncRNA from 1 species